AAAGGAGAAGCUGGCGGCGUGCCUUUAAUGCAAGUUCAGCGACAAGAUAAGGAGCUUGCUCCUUUGACGUUAGCGGCGGACGGGUGAGUAACACGUGGGUAACCUACCUAUAAGACUGGGAUAACUUCGGGAAACCGGAGCUAAUACCGGAUAACAUUUGGAACCGCAUGGUUCUAAAGUGAAAGAUGGUUUUGCUAUCACUUAUAGAUGGACCCGCGCCGUAUUAGCUAGUUGGUAAGGUAACGGCUUACCAAGGCGACGAUACGUAGCCGACCUGAGAGGGUGAUCGGCCACACUGGAACUGAGACACGGUCCAGACUCCUACGGGAGGCAGCAGUAGGGAAUCUUCCGCAAUGGGCGAAAGCCUGACGGAGCAACGCCGCGUGAGUGAUGAAGGGUUUCGGCUCGUAAAACUCUGUUAUUAGGGAAGAACAAAUGUGUAAGUAACUGUGCACGUCUUGACGGUACCUAAUCAGAAAGCCACGGCUAACUACGUGCCAGCAGCCGCGGUAAUACGUAUGUGGCAAGCGUUAUCCGGAAUUAUUGGGCGUAAAGCGCGCGUACGCGGUUUCUUAAGUCUGAUGUGAAAGCCCACGGCUCACCCGUGGAGGGUCAUUGUAAACUGGGAAACUUGAGUGCACCACGAGGAAAGUGUAAUUCCAUGUGUAGCGCUGAAAUGCGCAGAGAUAUGGCAGGAACACCAUACCCAUGCUACUUGCUGGUCCGUAACUGACCAGCAAGUAGCAUGGGUAUGGUGUUCCUGCCAUAUCUCUGCGCAUUUCAGCGCUACACAUGGAAUUACACUUUCCUCGUGGUGCACUCAAGUUUCCCAGUUUACAAUGACCCUCCACGGGUGAGCCGUGGGCUUUCACAUCAGACUUAAGAAACCGCGUACGCGCGCUUUACGCCCAAUAAUUCCGGAUAACGCUUGCCACAUACGUAUUACCGCGGCUGCUGGCACGUAGUUAGCCGUGGCUUUCUGAUUAGGUACCGUCAAGACGUGCACAGUUACUUACACAUUUGUUCUUCCCUAAUAACAGAGUUUUACGAGCCGAAACCCUUCAUCACUCACGCGGCGUUGCUCCGUCAGGCUUUCGCCCAUUGCGGAAGAUUCCCUACUGCUGCCUCCCGUAGGAGUCUGGACCGUGUCUCAGUUCCAGUGUGGCCGAUCACCCUCUCAGGUCGGCUACGUAUCGUCGCCUUGGUAAGCCGUUACCUUACCAACUAGCUAAUACGGCGCGGGUCCAUCUAUAAGUGAUAGCAAAACCAUCUUUCACUUUAGAACCAUGCGGUUCCAAAUGUUAUCCGGUAUUAGCUCCGGUUUCCCGAAGUUAUCCCAGUCUUAUAGGUAGGUUACCCACGUGUUACUCACCCGUCCGCCGC
rnacentral:rRNA from 1 species